GAAGACUACCUGGUUGAUAGGCAAGGUGUGUAAGCGUUGUGAGGCGUUGAGCUAACUUGUACUAAUUGCCCGUGAGGCUUGACCAU
rnacentral:ncRNA from 1 species